AUACUGACCUGGCAGGGGAGAUAACAUGAUCACCAAGGUGGUUCUGCCAGGGUGAGGCUCAUCCAUUGCACUCUGGGUGUGCUGGCACCUGCAAUUUCCACAAAUGAUAUUAUUUGUUCAUGUUUUUUUUAUAGUCUUUUUGAUAUUUUGUAUUUUU